UACGUAGGGUGCAAGCGUUGUCCGGAAUUAUUGGGCGUAAAGGGCUCGUAGGCGGUCCAUCGCGUCGGGAGUGAAAAGCUGGGGCUUAACCCCAGUCCUGCUUCCGAUACGGGUGGACUAGAGGUAGGCAGGGGAGAACGGAAUUCCUGGUGUAGCGGUGAAAUGCGUAGAUAUCUGAAGGAACAUCAGUGGCGAAAGCGACUUCCUGGACCAAUACUGACGCUCAUGUGCGAAAGCGUGGGGAGCAAACAGG
rnacentral:rRNA from 1 species